GAUGAACGCUGGUGGCGUGCUUAACACAUGCAAGUCGAACGAUUAACCCUUCUUCGGAAGGUCAUAAAGUGGCGAACGGGUGAGUAACACGUGACCAACCUGCCUCUCACAUUGGGAUAACUUAGAGAAAUCUAAGCUAAUACCAAAUACUCUUGAUCCGCCGCAUGACGGACCAAGGAAAACUUUCGCUGGGAGGGAUGGGGGGGCGGCCCAUUAGGUAGUUGGUGGGGUAGAGGCCUACCAAGCCGAUGAUGGGUAGCCGGGUUGAGAGACCGACCGGCCACAUUGGGACUGAGAUACGGCCCGGACUCCUACGGGAGGCAGCAGUGGGGAAUUUUGCGCAAUGGGCGAAAGCCUGACGCAGCAACGCCGCGUGCGGGAUGACGGCCUUCGGGUUGUAAACCGCUUUCAGUGGGAAAGAUAAUGACGGUACCCACACAAGAAGCUCCGGCUAAAUACGUGCCAGCAGCCGCGGUAAGAC
rnacentral:rRNA from 1 species